AUUGAACGCUGGCGGCAUGCCUUACACAUGCAAGUCGAACGGCAGCACGGGUGCUUGCACCUGGUGGCGAGUGGCGAACGGGUGAGUAAUAUAUCGGAACGUACCUUAUUGUGGGGGAUAACGCAGCGAAAGCUGUGCUAAUACCGCAUACGCCCUGAGGGGGAAAGCGGGGGACCGUAAGGCCUCGCGCGAUUGGAGCGGCCGAUGUCAGAUUAGCUUUUUGGUGAGGUAAAGGCUCACCAAGGCAACGAUCAGUAGCUGGUCUGAGAGGCCGAUCGGCCAAACUGGGACUGAGAAACGGCCCAGACUCCUACGGGAGGCAGCAGUGGGGAAUUUUGGACACUGGGGGCAACCCUGAUCCAGCAAUGCCGCGGGAGUGAAGAAGGCCUUCGGGUUGUAAAGCUCUUUUGUCAGGGAAGAAACAGCAGCUUUAAUACAGCAUGCGAAUGACGGUACCUGAAGAAUAAGCACCGGCUAACUACGUGCCAGCAGCCGCUGUAA
rnacentral:rRNA from 1 species